rnacentral:lncRNA from 1 species
GACCACGGGAAACAAAAAGCAAUAUUAAAGUUGCUCAAAUAUAAAGUUUACACAUUAAUGUCUUUGUUCCUUCUCAUUCUUGUUAGGUUCAAUCCUACACAUGGUGAGAUUUUGAAAAUCAGCCUCUCCUUGAAAGGAAAAUCACAGGGCGAUAAGGAUCCAGCAGAACGGGAUGACGGUGAAUCCUGCCAGUGUGCUGUGAAUGUGAAGCAGGAGGGACCGGCAGUUUGUGUGCAGGAGGGAAAGCGAACAGGUCCAGGGCCCCCGGAUUAGCAGCCCAGGGAAAGCCAGAAGGUUUCUGCUGCGGCUUCAUUAGUAGUGAAGAGCAUCAGGCUGGUGCUGUGGUUGCACUGAGGUGUGA